CAAAGCUUCAAAUGCAAUACAGUUAUCUCUAUUCUAACGCAAAACAAGUUCAUAAUUAAAUUUCAAUCAAUAUUUCAGUGUAAAAUCUUCAUUAAAGAAAAUUUUGCAAAAAGAUGUUAUCUUCUUUGGUCCCUACACUAGGUGACGUCAUAGGUAUGCUUCCGGCGUCAAACAUAAACACCAGGCGUUUUCUGGCUUCUGUGCCGUUUCAGAAUGUAAUAGAGUUUGAUAAAAAGAAGAUUUUUAGGUGCAACAUGUGAGUUUUUUUGCUUAUUAUUGUAGAAAUUACAUGUCAAUACAUUCAGCAAUUCAAAAUGUCGGCUUCCUUAGUUACAGACAAGGAGAUAGAGAAUUUUACGCUAACUGUCAUCCA
rnacentral:lncRNA from 1 species